CUUACGGUUGGCAUCCAGCUAAGAAUCAUUAUCAACAAUAUCAAACCAUGGCUUCUCGACUCUUCCAUAGAUAAUAGUGGCGGAGUUGCGUACAACUAGUUUUCGCUUUAAAGUCACCCAUUCCUGUCCAAAUUUCCACCACAUCUCUUCGCAAACCGCAAAUCCAUCUCUAAUCACUUCCUUCGUCUUUGUUCUCAGUUUCAGCAGCUUUAUCUAAUCCGAUAUUCUUUGGGUGUUUGAGAAUCUAUCAACGAUGACUCAUAUCCUUCCGUAGAUCAGCUUUUUCUCUACGCUUCCGACGGUUUGUUGUUUCUUUCCUCCGUUUGGUUCCCGAGAAAACC